AUACGGAGGGUGCAAGCGUUACUCGGAAUCACUGGGCGUAAAGCGCGCGCAGGCGGCCAUUUAAGUUGGAUGUGAAAGCCUACGGCUCAACCGUAGAACUGCAUCCAAAACUAUUUGGCUAGAGUGUGGGAGAGGAAGAUGGAAUUAGUUGUGUAGGGGUAAAAUCCGUAGAGAUAACUAGGAAUACCAAAAGCGAAGGCAAUCUUCUGGAACACUACUGACGCUGAGGCGCGAAGCGUGGGGAGCAAACGGGAUUAGAUACCCUAGUAGUCC
rnacentral:rRNA from 1 species